UACAGGGGGGGCAAGCGUUGUUCGGAAUUACUGGGCGUAAAGGGCUCGUAGGCGGCCAACUAAGUCACACGUGAAAUCCCCAGGCUUAACCUGGGAACUGCGUGUGAUACUGGAUGGCUUGAAUUCGGGAGAGGGAUGCAGAAUUCCAGGUGUAGCGGUGAAAUGCGUAGAUAUCUGGAGGAACACCGGUGGCGAAGGCGGAUCUCUGGGCCAUUACUGACGCUGAGGAGCGAAAGCGUGGGGAGCGAACAGG
rnacentral:rRNA from 1 species